rnacentral:rRNA from 1 species
UACGAAGGGGGCUAGCGUUGCUCGGAAUGACUGGGCGUAAAGGGCGCGUAGGCGGUUCAUACAGUCAGAUGUGAAAUUCCUGGGCUCAACCUGGGGGCUGCAUUUGAUACGUGUGGACUAGAGUGGGGAAGAGGGUCGUGGAAUUCCCAGUGUAGAGGUGAAAUUCGUAGAUAUUGGGAGGAACAUCGGCGGCGAAGGCGGCCAUCUGGGAGGGUACUGACGCUGAGACGCGAAAGCGUGGGGAGCAAACAGG